GAUGAACGCUGGCGGCGUGCCUAAUACAUGCAAGUCGAGCGAACAGACGAGGAGCUUGCUUCUCUGAUGUUAGCGGCGGACGGGUGAGUAACACGUGGAUAACCUACCUAUAAGACUGGGAUAACUUCGGGAAACCGGAGCUAAUACCGGAUAAUAUUUUGAACCGCAUGGUUCAAAAGUGAAAGACGGUGUUGCUGUAACUUAUAGAUGGAUCCGCGCUGCAUUAGCUAGUUGGUAAGGUAACGGCUUACCAAGGCAACGAUGCAUAGCCGACCUGAGAGGGUGAUCGGCCACACUGGAACUGAGACACGGUCCAGACUCCUACGGGAGGCAGCAGUAGGGAAUCUUCCGCAAUGGGCGAAAGCCUGACGGAGCAACGCCGCGUGAGUGAUGAAGGUCUUCGGAUCGUAAAACUCUGUUAUUAGGGAAGAACAUAUGUGUAAGUAACUGUGCACAUCUUGACGGUACCUAAUCAGAAAGCCACGGCUAACUACGUG
rnacentral:rRNA from 1 species